rnacentral:rRNA from 1 species
GGGAUAUUGGGCAAUGGUCGGAAGACUGACCCAGCCAUGCCGCGUGAGGGAAUGAGGCCCUACGGGUCGUGAACCUCUUUUAUUCGGGGACAAGGCGGCGCACGAGAUGCGUUGUUGAGGGUACCGAAGGAAUAAGCAUCGGCUAACUCCGUGCCAGCAGCCGCGGUAAUACGGAGGAUGCGAGCGUUAUCCGGAUUCAUUGGGUUUAAAGGGUGCGCAGGCGGCCUGGCAAGUCAGCGGUGAAAGCCCGGGGCCCAACCCCGGAAGUGCCGUUGAUACUGUUGGGCUCGAAUGCGGUCAAGGCGGGCGGAACGUGGCGUGUAGCGGUGAAAUGCGUAGAUAUGCCACAGAACGCCGAUAGCGAAGGCAGCUCGCCAGGCAUGCAUUGACGCUCGGGCACGAAAGCGUGGGGAUCGAACA